rnacentral:rRNA from 1 species
GACGAACGCUGGCGGCGUGCUUAACACAUGCAAGUCGAACGGAAAGGCCUGCUUUCCCUUGUGGUUUGCGUGUACUCGAGUGGCGAACGGGUGAGUAACACGCGAGUGAUCUGCCCCCAACUUGGGUAUAAGCCUGGGAAACUGGGUCUAAUUCCCGAUAGGACUGCAGGGUGGUGCCUGUGGUGGAAAACGAUUUUCUAGUGGUUGGGGAUGAGCCCGCGGCGUAUCAGCUUGUUGGUGGGGUAAUGGCCUACCAAGGCGGAGACGGGUAGCCGGCCUGGGAGGGUGGACAGCCACAUUGAGACUGGGACACGGCCCAGACUCCUACGGGAGGCAGCAGUGGGGAAUAUUGGGCAAUGAGCGGAAGCCUGAUGCAGCGACGCCGCGUUGGGGAUGACGGCCUUCGAGUUGUAAACUCCUUUCGACCGAGAGGAAGCCACCUGGUUGGAAGGGUGGUGACGGUAGUGGUAGAAGAAGCACCGGCUAACUACGUG